rnacentral:rRNA from 1 species
ACAAUGCGGGACUAUACGUCUUGCAAUUGGAUUGAGAACAAUGUACAACUCUUAUCGAUAAGCCAUUGGAGGGCAAGUCUGGUGCCAGCAGCCGCGGUAAUUCCAGCUCCAAUAGCGUAUAUUAACGUUGUUGCAGUUAAAAAGCUCGUAGUUGAAGUGUGGGUGAUCGCUGUUGUGAGACUUCGGUCUCUCGACAGUAAGUCACCCCCUUCCAGUAUCCAGUAGUGGGUAUUCACUUACUUACUAUUGUGUGUUGGUCCUUUACUGUGAGAAAAUUAGAGUGUUCAAAGCAGGCGUUUGCUUGAAUAGAUUAGCAUGGAAUAAUAAUUGAAGGCUUUCGUGUUCGAUUUGAUUGGUUUGUUCAUGGAAGCAAGGUUAAAAGGAACAGUUGGGGGUAUUCAUAUUCACUAGUUAGAGGUGAAAUUCUCGGAUUUAUGGAAGAUGAACAA